UACGGAGGGAGCUAGCGUUAUUCGGAAUUACUGGGCGUAAAGCGCACGUAGGCGGUUCGUUAUGUCGGAUGUGAAAGCCCUUGGCUUAACCGAGGAAGUGCAUCCGAAACUGGCGAGCUAGAGUACGAAAGAGGAUCGCGGAAUUCCCGGUGUAGAGGUGAAAUUCGUAGAUAUCGGGAGGAACACCGGUGGCGAAGGCGGCGAUCUGGGUCGAUACUGACGCUGAGGUGCGAAAGCGUGGGGAGCAGACAGG
rnacentral:rRNA from 1 species